rnacentral:misc_RNA from 1 species
AAAAGUUUUCAAGUUCAUGAUUUUAAAAUUAUGAUAUUAAAAAAAAUUCUUAAACUGAAACGGAACAUAUCAAUAGAAUUCGUUAAAGCCAUCAGUCGAAAAUUUUAAUCAUGAAGAAACCACCAGAACUCUUUAACACCCUCCCUUUUUCAUACGUACACAACCAAGAGACACUAGAACCUGAGCUCAAUCUAUUUAAAACAUAGAUCCACCCAACGCCAGCCCAGGCUAACCGUAGCUAGCAAGGACUACUGUACAGAAGAACCUUCCAAUAAGUAAUGGAAUAUCAGGUCAGACAUAAUAUAUAAAAGAAAUACUGAGCCUCCUAUUGCUAUCUGAAGCACUCCCUCCCCCACCACCCCUUCCACUAUCGGCUAAAACUUCGUCUUUACAUUUCAAAAUUUAUGUUUGCAAAUUGGAAUCCUUGAAACUAAACAAUGGAUUUAGCUUCUAUUCUCAAGUCCCCUACACAUGUGCUCCAUAAGAACAAAAAGUUCCCAUAUACAUAAUUUCAGAAGAAGAUAGCUCUCCCCAACACUCUAGCUCCAACCAAAAACCACAAGAUGGCACAUAAUGCUCCAAGAAU